GAUGAACGCUGGCGGCGUGCCUAAUACAUGCAAGUCGAGCGAACGGACGAGAAGCUUGCUUCUCUGAUGUUAGCGGCGGACGGGUGAGUAACACGUGGAUAACCUACCUAUAAGACUGGGAUAACUUCGGGAAACCGUAGCUAAUACCGGAUAAUAUUUUGAACCGCAUGGUUCAAUAGUGAAAGACGGUCUUGCUGUCACUUAUAGAUGGAUCCGCGCUGCAUUAGCUAGUUGGUAAGGUAACGGCUUACCAAGGCAACGAUGCAUAGCCGACCUGAGAGGGUGAUCGGCCACACUGGAACUGAGACACGGUCCAGACUCCUACGGGAGGCAGCAGUAGGGAAUCUUCCGCAAUGGGCGAAAGCCUGACGGAGCAACGCCGCGUGAGUGAUGAAGGUCUUCGGAUCGUAAAACUCUGUUAUUAGGGAAGAACAUAUGUGUAAGUAACUAUGCACAUCUUGACGGUACCUAAUCAGAAAGCCACGGCUAACUACGUG
rnacentral:rRNA from 1 species